GAUGAACGCUGGCGGCGUGCCUAAUACAUGCAAGUCGAGCGAAUGGAUUAAGAGCUUGCUCUUAUGAAGUUAGCGGCGGACGGGUGAGUAACACGUAGGUAACCUGCCCAUAAGACUGGGAUAACUCCGGGAAACCGGGGCUAAUACCGGAUAACAUUUUGAACCGCAUGGUUCGAAAUUGAAAGGCGGCUUCGGCUGUCACUUAUGGAUGGACCCGCGUCGCAUUAGCUAGUUGGUGAGGUAACGGCUCACCAAGGCAACGAUGCGUAGCCGACCUGAGAGGGUGAUCGGCCACACUGGGACUGAGCCACGGCCCAGACUCCUCCGGGAGGCAGCGGUAGGGAAUCUUCCGCAAUGGACGAAAGUCUGACGGAGCAACGCCGCGUGAGUGAUGAAGGCUUUCGGGUCGUAAAACUCUGUUGUUAGGGAAGAACGAGUGCUAGUUGAAUAAGCUGGCACCUUGACGGUACCUAACCAGAAAGCCACGGCUAACUACGUGCCAGCCGCCGCAGUAA
rnacentral:rRNA from 1 species